AAUAGUGUAUCUGACUCAAACUCCCACAGUGGGAAGGCAUCGGAAGGAUCAAAAAAUUUUCCAAACAGCAAUGGACCGAAAAGCGAACCAUCACCAAAAACCUUGUGAACUGUUGGACUACCUUUGAGCAUGAAGUGCAGGAGCUGUCCUUGGAAAAAGCAUAGAACAAAUUCUCUUGGAAUAUGUGGAGUACUAAAGCUAGAGGAAUAUUUCUUUUCUAUGUCUUGCUCACUGGUAAGAGAAUUGUGGCAGGCUAAUUAGGCAUGGCAGAAUCCUUGUGGCAGCCCACAGCCAAUAACUGGCCGUCUUCUUCUACAGAUGACGUCGCAAAUUAGAGGUGGCAACUACUACUUGUCAACAUACACUAAACCAAGCCACAGCCAUAAUCAUUAAGAAGUUGGAUGAGGCUGGAAAAUCGGAAGGCCAAGAAGAUGGCAUGGUACAACAGUGCUUUCAAAUAAGGUUCACAGAGUCCGGUAAGUGAAUUAAUUUAAUCUGAUGUUGCUUUUCUUGUAUAAUCUUACCAUCUAGUGCAUUUUCUUUUGCGUAAUCUUCUUUGCCAGACCUUUUGAAUGGAAAUUGUCACGGCCUCUUACUGUGCCAUGUUGUGUGAAAGGAAUACUUUCCGUGUAUUGGGUGUUUAUUGUCAUAAAGCACCUACUCUCUAUGCUUUUUCCUCAACUUUAUAUUAAAGUUUGGCAAAAUACAGAGAAGCUAUGUUCAGUGCAAUGGUUUUGGUAUUGGCAUCUCCAUAUUAACUUUUUCUAAAAGCAGGAUAAGUAUCAAUUUGAUGGAUGUUUGAAAUUAUGGCCAUGGGAAUACUAGAGCCACUUUUAAAAGUGAGGUAUGUCUAGAAAUGUGUGUUCCCAAUCAAAAGAUAGAUGGGCUGAUCAGUCAGUGCCAAUCUUGACACUGAACCAUGGUUUAUGGAACAUUAUUUUGAAUGGACGUACAGUACUGUAGCUAAUUGGAGAGAGAGAAUAAAUAUGUACAGUACUGUAGUUAUAUUACAAUAAUAAACCUUUCAUGAUUGAGCCAAUUGGAAAAGAAUAUUGAGAAAAGAGUCAUAUCUUCUAUCUUCUUUAUGAUAAUAUUUAGUAGCUCAAUCUUCAAUUGAAUAGUCAGUGUUGGCCAGUUCAUCAUAUCUUGAAGUAAUCUUUCUGGAGCUUGUAGUUUCCUGGAAGAAAUGACCAAAGAGAAACUAUGAGGGAAAGAUAAAAAAAAAAAAAAAAACAGAAA